UACGUAGGUCGCAAGCGUUGUCCGGAUUUACUGGGCGUAAAGAGCGCGCAGGCGGCUGGUCAAGUCCGAUGUGAAAUCUCCCGGCUCAACUGGGAAACUGCAUCGGAGACUGAUCGGCUUGAAGAUGGGAGAGGGUAGUGGAAUUCCCGGUGUAGUGGUGAAAUGCGUAGAUAUCGGGAGGAACACCAGUGGCGAAGGCGACUACCUGGCCCAUUCUUGACGCUGAGGCGCGAAAGCUAGGGGAGCGAACGGG
rnacentral:rRNA from 1 species